rnacentral:tRNA from 1 species
GGGAAUGUAGCUCAGUGGUAGAGCACUUGCCUAGCAUGUUUGAGUCCCUGGGAUCAAUCCCUAGCACCCCCA